rnacentral:rRNA from 1 species
AUCAAAAACAUAGCCUUUAGCAAAACAAGUAUUAAAGGUAACGCCUGCCCAGUGAGACUUAAACGGCCGCGGUAUCCUAACCGUGCAAAGGUAGCGUAAUCACUUGUCUUAUAAAUGAAGACCCGUAUGAAUGGCUAAAUGAGUAUUUAACUGUCUCCUUUAACUAAUCAGUGAAACUGAUCUUUCAGUACAAAAGCUGAAAUAAAUUAAUAAGACGAGAAGACCCCGUGGAGCUUUAAAUUAUAAACAAGACAUAAUAAUAAAUAUGUCUAUGAUAAAAAUUUUUAGUUGGGGCGACUUUGGAGUAAAACUAAACCUCCAAAAAUAAGGCACCGCCUAACUGAGGCUAACGGACCAAACCAUAGAGACCCAGUAUAUUACUGAUCAACGAACCAAGUUACCCCAGGGAUAACAGCGCCAUCUUCUUCAAGAGUUCCUAUCGACAAGAAGGUUUACGACCUCGAUGUUGGAUCAGGACACCCUAAUGGUGCAGCCGCUAUUAAGGGUUCGUUUGUUCAACGAUUAAUAGUCCUACGUGAUCUG